GUAAUAGCUCACUGGUCGAGUCGGCCUGCGCGGAAGAUGUAACGGGGCUAAGCUAUACACCGAAGCUGCGGCUACGUACCUUAGGGUAUGUGGGGUAGGGGAGCGUUCUGUAAGCCGUUGAAGGUGGUCUGUAAGGGCUGCUGGAGGUAUCAGAAGUGCGAAUGCUGACAUGAGUAACGAUAAAGGGAGUGAAAAACUCCCUCGCCGGAAGACCAAGGGUUCCUGUCCAACGUUAAUCGGGGCAGGGUAAGUCGACUCCUAAGGCGAGGCCGAAAGGCGUAGUCGAUGGGAAACRGGUUAAUAUUCCYGUACUUCUUACAAUUGCGAUGGGGGGACGGAGAAGGCUAGGUGGGCCUGGCGACGGUUGUCCAGGUUCAAGUAUGUAGGCGGGUGGUUUAGGUAAAUCCGGACCGCUAYUAACGCUGAGAUACGAUGUCGAGCUACUACGGUAGUGAAGUCAUUGAUGCCAUGCUUCCAGGAAAAGCCUCUAAGCUUCAGAUUGUAAGGAAUCGUACCCCAAACCGACACAGGUGGUCGGGUAGAGAAUACCAAGGCGCUUGAGAGAACUCGGGUGAAGGAACUAGGCAAAAUGGUACCGUAAC
rnacentral:rRNA from 1 species